AUUGAACGCUGGCGGCAGGCCUAACACAUGCAAGUCGAGCGCGCGGCGGACGGGUGAGUAAUGUAUCGGGAUAUGCCCGUUAGAGGGGGCUAUCUACUCGAAACGGUAGCUCAUACCGCAUACCAUCGGAUGUGCACAGAUGUGAUUCGAUAGUAUGUGGGGUAAAGGCUCACCUAGGCGACGAUCCCUAGCUGGUCUGAGAGGAUGACCAGCCAUACUGGAACUGAGAAACGGGCCAGACGCCGACGGGAGGCAGCAGUGGGGAAUAUUGCACAAUGGGCGCAAGCCUGAUGCAGCCAUGCCGCGUGUAUGAAGAAGGCCUUCGGGUUGUAAAGUACUUGCAGCGGGGAGGCGUUACCCGCAGAAGAAGCACCGGCUAACUCCGUGCCAGCAGCAGCGGUAAUUC
rnacentral:rRNA from 1 species